GACGAACGCUGGCGGCGUGCUUAACACAUGCAAGUCGAACGGAAAGGCCUCUUUCGGGGGGUACUCGAGUGGCGAACGGGUGAGUAACACGUGAGUAACCUGCCCUUGACUUUGGGAUAACUUCAGGAAACUGGGGCUAAUACCGGAUAGGAGCUCCUGCUGCAUGGUGGGGGUUGGAAAGUUUCGGCGGUUGGGGAUGGACUCGCGGCUUAUCAGCUUGUUGGUGGGGUAGUGGCUUACCAAGGCUUUGACGGGUAGCCGGCCUGAGAGGGUGACCGGCCACAUUGGGACUGAGAUACGGCCCAGACUCCUACGGGAGGCAGCGGUGGGGAAUAUUGCACAAUGGGUGGAAGCCGGAUGCAGCAACGCCGUGUGCGGGAUGACGGCCUUCGGGUUGUAAACCGCUUUCGCUCAUGACGAAGCUUUGUGUGACGGUAGUGGGUAAAGAAGCACCGGCUAACUACGUG
rnacentral:rRNA from 1 species